AAAACGUAAUAAACUGUCUAGUUUAAAUCAAUUCCGCCCUUUUGGGGAUUGAUUUAAAAUAUAUUACUUAAAAUUCCAUCCGGAUUCUUAGACCUGACCUGACACACUCGUGGGAAAUGAAUGUGGCAUCAUUGGUAGAGUUAAAUUCUCUACUGAUAACAAUUCAGUUACAACCAAUGCCACAACACUUUCUUAUUAGCUUUUUUAUUCACAUUAUAGGAUUAAAUAUGAUAAUACUGUAAAUGCAAGAACACUAAUAUACAAAAGCAGCUUAGUUAUUACAAAUGUACAGAUAAUAUUUUAAUACAGAAAUAUUUAAAAAUUAACCUUCAGCUAGCAAUUGUAGAACAGCCUUAUUGUACUGGUUUGUUUUACAGCAAUGCGUCAAAGGAGCAUGAUUGGCUAGAGUUUUCAUUUUUACCUGGGAAUCACCUAUGGCACAAGCCCUGCUGUAACGAUACAAGGACCUGUGUCUUCACCUCAAGUCCUAAUCUCGGCUUCUCAACACAGAAACACAACCAGCUCCUGUAUCAUUGUUUGUAUGAGGUGUGUGUUCGCUGUUUUCCUCAUCAAGAAGUAAUGAUACUUCUCUAUUGGGUUAAAUUAACCAGUAAGCUAACAUUAUUUUCCAUAGGAGGAUUUAGACCAUUGUUAUUCAGGUUAUGUAUGGGUUUUUUUGCCACUUAUCAUAUCAAUUCACUCGUGUAUAUUUUCUGUAAAUAAAGCUAUGAAACACAAGUAUUAAUGUAUAUACUUGUAUAUACUUAUACAUAAAUAUUUUUGCUUAGAAUUUUAGUUAUUCGAAUUUGAUACUUAAAUUGUAAUUAAAGAAAAAACUCAAAAAAUACUAUAGGCUUGCUAGUUAACCAGUUGUUUUCAAUUGCAUUACCUGCGAUUUCAAGUGUUCUUAAAAGCUGUUAGCAAGCAAGUAAUAUUUUUGCUUUCCUAAUUGAAAUAUCUCACACUCUUUGCAUUUUGAGCCAGUCUUUCAUAUGUAUGUUUGCUGCAAAAUGUGAUGAGCUUGUACAUCAGCUGCACUAAACAUGACUCGGCUUGACUUUCUAUCACCUCAAGAAUUAUAUGCAUUGAAUACUUUAAAGAUCUAAAAUGAUUUAAUAACAAUUAAGAGGUGAUAAAUAAAUUUAUUUGAUGGAUUAAUAAUUCUUUUGCGUUUAAAAUAGUAGCUGUAUUGCUCAAUAUUUUUACACCUGCUCACUACUGUUGCAAACAAAAAACUACGUGUUAAAACUUUUGUUAAUAAUAAAUUGAAUUUUUUAAUAAUUUUCCCAAAUAUCAGAAUUGUUUAUUGUUUUGAGUAUUCAAGUAAUAUGUAAAUACUAUCGCACAAUGUACUCACAGAGUUACUGACAGAUCUGUGAAUUACCUAGGCUUAUCAAUCCUCUCCUUGACGUGUUAACUUUAAUAUUAACGGUCAGAUUCAUAGUAUUAGUGUAUCUAGACUGUACACACGUACCACAGCACGCUUCGCUACAUCACACAAAGCGCAGUUAUAAUCUGGGUUUUAAUGACUUAUCUACCAUUGCAGAUAUACUGUCCAUGCAUCAAAACAACACAAUCACUUUGUGUAAAAUAAACUGUAUCUGUACUUACAUAUACUGAAUGUACAGAUUAUAGUUUUUUACCUACACCCACAUGAAUUAAAUUUGCCUACUUUCAGUUUUCACUGAGUUUCUCACAAGAAAAUAUUAAAAUUUUAAAACUCUCUCAGUAAGAAUAAAAAAUGUCAUCAUUGUCAUCUGUGCAGAGCAAUCUUUUAUGUAUAAAUCCUAAGUUAAUAUAAACAAUAGUAUUUAAAAUUCACGGCUGACUAUCUGAAGUAAUAUUAAACUUUGGUAAUGUAAUUUCUGAACCUACAUCUAUUUUCUACAGCCAUAAAUUCCAACAUGGAGGUUUUGAAAGUGAACAGCCUUUCAACAGUGCACUGUAAGAAAAACAAUCUGUGCAGUUGGACUUUUGGAAACUUUUUCUGCAACUGGCAAUCUUCAAUCAAAAUUUGUAAAAAUUAAAAUAAAAGAACUUACAUAAUAAUGUAGAUUUGAAUAAAAACAACAGAGUAUUUCUGCGGUGUUGCCACAAAUUUCAGAAGUUGAUUACUUACUCCAAAAUAAGUAAAAUGUUCCGUAAAUAUGUGUCUUGGGUUUGCCAUCUGUUUAUAUGUGUUUUGAGUUACAUCAUCGUAUUAUUUUAUUUAUUAGUCUUACUAAAACCUGACUUAGAUAAAAGAAUAAAGGAAAUAUUUUAACUAGUUUCAAAAUAGUGACUUUUACAUGCACUUUUACAUCAAGUUGCCCGAAAGAAGUAGCAAGAAAGUCAUAUGAUGCAUAAGAAGUACCUAAAAUGACAAAACAUUUGGUAUUUCAUUUAUUUAACUCUGUAUGAUAAGUUCCCUAGCUUUUGAACCAAGAACUUUGACACACUUGUUUAGUAGAAAUUUUUUACUUAUUUUGGUGUAAGUAUUCACCUCCUGAAGUUUGGUGUAAUGUCAUGUAUAUACUCUGGAAAUAUAUUCAAAUGGAGAAAAAGUAUAAGUCUUUUUUAAAUAAUAGUUGGAAUGUUAUGUAAUAUAUUUGUGCUUGAUUAUACAAUUAUUUUUGGAUUUUGGUCCAAAUUUUUUUGGACAGUAUAUGUGUUAUUGGAGAUACUAAUCGUUCUACUGAAUUUAAAAAAAGUAUUUUGAGGAGAAUUUGUUUAAAUGGAAAAUAAUGAGGGGUGCUUCAUAAUUAAAUUAAUCUUCUUAAAGGGUUCUGGCACAAUAUCCUUCUCAGUCUCAUUGUAGAUAUCCCAUUUGUUCAGGAGGGCUGACAUUUCCUGUUCUUUAUCUUAAAAUAGAAUUAAACAAAACUUAAAAUAGUAGUCCUGGGGGGAUAUCAACAAAAAUGUGUCAAUGUACAUGUCUAACCAUUAAGUUCGAUCCCUUCCAAAAGUAGUACAUAAAUUCUACAUUUCACAGAAAUCUGUUGAUUCAAGUAAUUUUCUAAUGUCAAGGACCAUAUGUAGAUAUGUUAAACAACACUUUUAUAUACAUAGAAAAGUACAAAGAUCUAAAACUUCAUCAAUAGAUUUGAUCUCCUUUGUAUUUUUCUUGAGAAGUUUAUAACAUUUAUCAAACUUAAAUAUUCCUUUGAGAGCUGACUACUUCUGAUUCACAUGUUAUCAUGUAAUUACAAUUAGAAGUGAUAAAAGUGUUUAAACAGGUUUCAUUAUCAAACUUUCAAAUAGCAUAGAAAGCUAUCACCAUUUCUCUUGCAGACCACAUCUAAAAAUUAACAGUGUUCUCCUUUUUUACCAAUACUGGUAUACACACUAUAUUUUUUUAGUUAUUCAUUAUCAGGAAAGAAUAGACGAUUUGUAGAUUCAGAGAGCAUAGGGAUCAAGAAACAAGAAAUAUUCUUAAAUUUUCAAAAAUUUCUCAGGGUACAGUCAUUUGAUCCUAGGCACUCAUGGAAUACUCCAUAUCUGUCUUUCUUCGCCCAGGUACAUCAAAGAAUACCUAACAGGGCAAACAUGUUUAUAUAAAAUAUAAAAAUUAGAUCUAGCAUUGAAUAUCAAUAUAUACCAUUUCAGUCCUUGAAAUCCCAAGUCUACCCUCCAAAAAAAGGAAAUAAAUAUUCAUUAAAAUUGGUUUAGGUGUUUAGGCAGGUACAGAUUUUUAUUAAAUAAAAGUACGCUUUCCAGAAAAUAAUGUAAUAGAUUUUACUUUUAAAAAGGUAUUAUUUCAAUUCGUUGUCAACCUCAUAGGAGUGUUGCCAUCUCUUUUGCAGUAAUCAUUAGUGAUAAAAGGUGGGCAAUUAAUAUAUUAUAAUAUUAUAUUGUCAAGGUUGUGAGAGUAACAAAGGAAGUUUGGCUCUUCCUUUGGCACUAAGUCAUCAAAGCUGUGAUAGUGAUAAAGAAAAUUUUCUGGGAGAAAUAGUGGUAUUUCACUUUAUUGCUUUUACCUAAAGUCUGUGGUAGUGAUUAAAAAGGUACAAUUGCUUCUGUACCGCAUAAUUUUUUUGUGUAUCAUUAAAUGUACAGUACUACCAAUAUUUGCACUUGUUCUACUUUCCACAUCCUCACUCAAGUUUACAGCUUUAGGAGAUGAAUAGACGGUUAAAAGUGAUCGGUAUCUACAUAUCAAUAACAUGAAACUAGCCAUAACGAUAACAAAAUAACUAAAAAUCUUUUUUUCAGUUUUUGUAAAGUAACUUAUUAUUAUUUAUUAUUUAUUUUAAACAAAUAAAUUUUUUCAUUUACUUAAAUAAUUUUUAUACCGUUAAAAGUACUCAAAUUUUAUUUUUAACCAUUCAAAACAAAGCUGUACAAACUAUCUAUUAUAUUUAUAUGUACCAACAUAAAAAAAUUGAAUGGAUUAAAAAGAGUGUGGGAUGAAUAGUUGUGGCUUCAGCACAUGGCUAACUUUCCCUAUUACAGCAGCGAACACACAUUGGCUUUGCUUUGCUAACAUGGCAUUUGAAUCUGACCAACCAUUUCAUCUUCAUAUUGUUACUUACACAUUUUUUAAACUUAGACUAACGCUGUGCACGUUCAUGCACGAUGCACAUUACCCCUGUAUAGCGCGACCUUGUACAGUCAGUCCAAAAAUCAUGCUCAAGGAACAAAUAUUUUAGUUCUAGAAAAUACAGUUAAGUUUGAAUUGCAUAUUUUAUCAUAUUGUUGUAGAUGACAUAUUCAUGGUUAUUAUUUCCUUGCUUUUAAGUUAAGUAUAACAGUGUCGAACUUCAUGUUAAUGUGAAACUUCAACCCUUCUCGUAUAUAGUCAUUAACAUUUCUAUUGUUUUUUGUUUUUGUUUUUUUUUGGCCUAAAUAAGGUGUACCAAUUUGUUAGAAUGUAUUAGAACAGCUUUUCUAUAUAUGCUGUACCAUAUAAUAUUAAUCUAUUGUAUAACUAUUAUUAAUAAUAAUAAUAAGAAUAGCACAUUCAAGCUGAAUAGUACAGUUAGGCAUAUUCUUGUAAUGAUAUGUGACUUGUCCACUAAAAUGAGUUAACAACAAAACUGCAUCAAACUUUAUUUUAAUCUCAGUUAAUUUUCAUCCUUCAUCAUUUUAGUAACAUCUGAGAUAUAAAGGAAUCCAGCAAUUUCAUUUUAAAUUAUUCAAUCAAGUUCCAAAAUAAAUCUCUUGUCAGAAAAUGAUCUUUAAUAUUCAAACAUACCACAGUGGUUAGUUCUACACCAUCAAAUAAAUCUGCUUAUAGUUAUUGUUUCACAAAAUAUGUUUUAUUCACUAUUGUAUUACAAACAAACAUUUACUGUAAACCUGUCAGAUGGGAUUUUCAUAUUAGUAUAAAUAAGCAUAUAAAAUAAAAUAUAUUUAGUAAAGAAAGAAAUACUUGGAAAAGAAUUUGAAGAUGAUGGCAGUUUAUGAUAGUCAUCGUCAGUAUCAAUUAAUUUCACCAUUUUUAUAUUUAUGAACAUCAGAUUCUGAAGUUUAGUAGGACCCAAACCCUGAGUUGAGUGUGAGUGUUAGACCUAGUGUGUCAAAUAUUUCUGCAUUUUUGUAACUGUCGCGGUCAUCUCAAGUGGCCCAGAUUUAAUGAGUUCUUUAAAGCUGCCUAUUAGAAAUUCCUCAGUAUUAUCAACGUCUAAAAUCUAGGAAUAGUAAAAUUCCAGUCUACAGUCAAAAUCAGUUUCCAGUAUUGUUGAAAGUUCUUAUAAAGUGGCCUUUCUGUGGGUUCCAACACUACUGCGAGAGUAGGCCAUUCAAUAUAUCUUCGAUGAGCAAAUGAUUGAGAUUCUUUGAUUGUUUUCAAAUCAUAUGUAAUCAUCAAAUAUAGCUUAAUAAAUUCCUUAAUUUAGCAAAAUACAAUCUAGUGUAUCAAGAUUUGAUUUUAAAAUAAUACUGACCUAAAGUUUUGAUUAGUGAGAUGAAGUGCACCUCACUACCCCGGGUAUUCUUUCCAACACAACAUGGAAAAAUGAAAUGAAAAGUAAAUUUAAAACUAGGAAUUAGGUUCUGUAUGCUCUUUGUGGAUUACUAUAAUUAAGACUGCCUAUGAGUCGUUCAGUAGCUGUGGUUAUGGUAUCUGAGAUUUUGGUCCAAGAAUCAGAUUUUGGACCUAAUAAAGUCUACUGCGUCAAGAAAAUGUCAAUAAUUUUCAGUAUACUAGUAGACAACAAUAAUCAAGUAGACAAAGUGCCAAAUCAAAGAUAAGCAAUUUGACUGAUAAAAACUCCAAAUCAAUCAAGCAGGAUGCCUAAUCAGAACUACCUAACCAGGUUUAAACCUAGUUAAUGUCACUAUGAUAUUGUUACCACCAUUAUCAAAUGAUUCAGCAUGUUACAAGUAUUGAAACUGAAGAAUAAGGUCAAACUGAAAACUUAAGAUCAGUUACAAUUAUUUUCAUGUAACUUAUAUGUAGCUGAAUAUGAGUUUCAAAAGCCAGUAAUUAUAAUUUUGGGCAUGUGAUCUUUUAAUAUGUUGUUUUAGAAGUAUACUGUAUGAUAUCACAAAUGUGAGUCACUGCAUGUCACACAAAGUGGUGUUUUACUUACUGCUACCAAAGACUUAUUUCCUUUCAGGAAUUCUGAUCUAGUAGUUUUCUUUGAAAAUGUUUGUGACAAUUUAGAAGUACAGGAAGACAAGAACAUCUCAAACUCUUACAAUUACUUAUCUCUGUUUGCCUCAUCUAAUGUUUGUGUUACAACUAUAAACCUACUUUUGAGAAAACUUACUUGAUGAAACAUUACAUCCUGAUGAUGGAAGCUUUUCAUGUUCCAACCUAUCACUUAAAUGAAUUAAAGGUGUACUGUAGUUGUAUUCCAGGGCUGAAAAAUAUUAUUUUCGAGGCCUGAACUAGUUUCCCCCAUUAUAUUUAUGUAUUGAAUAAAUUUGUAAUAGCUUCAUUGAGGUUACGAUUUCCUAGGUCUCAGGCUUAAAAACUAAGGUCAAAUCAACUUCUACUCUGGCAGUAUUUUACUUAUCAUGGAUGAUAGUGUCCAACGCUUGAGAUCAAAAUCUAUAGUGUAAGUUGGUUGAAGUAUUCUGCCCCUGAGCACAUUUCAUUCAGAGAUUAUUUAGGACUAUACCACCAACUUUCAUCUUGUAACACUACUGAUAUACUUCCCUACCCUUUCCACCAUUCUGCUGCUGAGGCUUUUAAAUAGAUGGUUGUACUGUUUAUCAUGGAUAAUAAACAUUUUAAAGCUGAGGAAGUAUUUUAAGUGUCGUAAGUGGUUUUCAGACCUAUUAAUUAUUGCUUAAAGGAGAGCAUUCUUAGGAGGAAAGAGGAAAGUUAAUGUCCAUGGUGAUUAUUCCUCUAUCCUAGCUGUCAAUAAUGAUUUAUAGACAACACUAUUUUUUGAAGUAUUCACCCCUUCCCCCACAAUCAAAUCUUUUUAGGUUUUUAUCAUUUUUUAUUUGUUUUAAAGUUAUUAAAUUUAUUAGUGAAAAUUCCUUAAUGCUUCAUAUUUUGAUUCACUCUUUGAAGAUGAACAACCUGACUGAUCUUAAUUGUAGUUUCCUCAAACAAACCCAUCAAAAUUUGCAGCCACACAAACAUGAUCAGAUAAAGAUUAAUCUGGUGAAGAAAGAAAUCUUCUCUAGACAUAUAAGUUGUUUCAUGAUCUGUUUAAUUCUUUUUCAUGUGGCAACUUCCUGAGUUGGUUGGAGUAUACCUGUGAAAGGAAUUUCAUGAGUUGAGAAAUGUAUGCAUGGUAAUGAUGUACUAGCACAAAAUAUAGCUUUGUGUUCAGGGGUACCUUUCACAUGAGUGAUCCUUUUAUUCUUCCCUCCUUUGAUGUGAAUCAGUAAUUAGAUUUACUAUCAGUGCAGUACAUUUUAAAAUUUUAAUUUGAUCAACGAUGACUUUUGCAAGGUUUUACGGUACUUGAAAAUAGUAUAUAAGCAGUAACUGUGUAACACUAAUAGUGUAGGAACCAAGAGCCAAUUUACAUUGUAUAAAGGUGCAUAUACAUUAGAAGCAAGCUUGGGUAAAUAAACUGGUGGUGCAUGCUUGUGCAAGCUUGCCUAAUCAGUGCUGUGGUCACUCUAGAAGCAAGCAAAUGAAAGUCGCUCCCAACAGUCAGUUGAAACGCAGCUGUCGGAUGAUGAAGACAUUGUGCUUGACAAUGAUGUUUUAAAUUUUUUGGGGUUAGAUAUGGAAAAAGUUAGAAAAGAGCGGGUGAAUGAAUAUUUUUGGACCGAAAUGAUAAUAAGGAGUAUGCUUGUUUUUUUCUAAACCUAUUUCAGCAACUAGAUAAGUUUCAUGAAUAUUUUAGGAUGAUGCCCAGACACAUUCUAUUACAUCUUGGAAAGAAUAACACGAAAAAAUAAUAAAGCAUUCCAAUUUCAGAAAAUAUGUAAGGCCUGAAGAAAAACUUAUGGUUACUUCAACUUAUGUAUAUAGCAACUCGAGACAAAUUUCAAGCAACUAUAAAAUGUAGUAGAUAAUACGCUGUCACUACUCCAAAACCAACUGAACAGUAGCAAGCUCGCCAGAAAAACAAAUCUAUUUGUUUCCUGAUCAGGAGUAGACAAGCAUGUGCAAGCGUGAACUAGCGAGUGGUGAGCACUGACAAGUUGCCGCUUGUUUCCAACACUUCUCUUCAAUUUUGUUUCUACAAGCAAGCUUACACCACCAGAUUACUUCUAAUGUAUACACGUCCUAAGCACACAAUUUAGUUUUUCCUCAAAUUGAUAGAUAAAUUUGUUUUGAAAAGAAAUAGAUCUUCAGCUGCACUAGCUUUGGUGGGAUUCAAAUGGGAGGGUAUCAAACGGGUUGGGUUAAAAACUUGAAAUGAUACUUUUUUCUCUAAUAUAAUGCUACUUUUUUCAAAUAUAAUCGUACUUUUUUAACUUGACAAAUUGAUUGACAGACAAGUAAAUGAAUGUUAAAUCAGUGUCAGCUAACCAUAUACUGACCUUAAUAUGUUGACUUUUAAUAUGUCUCUUUAUCUAUUUUGGUGAUGGUGAUAUAAUUAUUGUUUAUAUGUUAAUAGUACCUAGCUUGUAGAUCUUUCAAGCUAGGAAAAUAUGAUUUAAGGAAAAAUUAUCACUUCAUAUUUUUAACACUUUUGAUACCACCAUCCCAUUUCGACUAGUGUGGCUGAAAACUGAUUGCUUUCUUAGGAAACAUUCCUCUAUUGAUUUCAAGGAAAGCCAGGUUGUGUGCUUGUGCAGUGCAAGUUGGCUCUCAGCUCUUGUACUGUAUGUAACUCUCACACUCAGCUUGUACUAAGUAAGAUCUAACUUUUGCAAGUGUUCCAUGGGCAUUCAGACAAUUUUAGAUACGGUGUGGAGUAGGGAUGAAUGAGAACCUCACUUAACCCUUAUAAAACCACAAACAUAAUGUUCCUAAUGUUAGAGGCUACCAGUAGCAAUCAACGCAAAGUACUUACUUUGUCCUCUACCCAGAGGGUUAAAUUUUAAAUAAAAAUAAUUUUUGCUGCCACCCUAUACAGUUUUCUUGCUCCUUUGUAAAUUCAGUUUUUUUAUUUAAGAAAUUAACUAUGCAAGGGUGCUGACUAAUUCCUAGGAUGAUUAAAUUACUGUUUGAUGUGAACAUAAAGAAGUAUAUAAACUCAUUUUAUAGUUCUUAGUUGUUUGAAUGUAAGAAAAUAUUGAGAGAAGUAUUAACCAAGUUUUGAAUAAAGGAAAAGGUUUUUUUUUAAUACUAUUGUUAGAAAGUUUAACUCUGAAAAUCAAGUCAAUCUUGAAUGGAAACUGCUCAAUACUUGGAAACAUAAGAAUCUCUCUCAGGCAAAGUAAUUAAAGUUCUCAAGAUCCAACAUUUACAGAUUAAUAGUAUUUUAUUAGGGUUUUCUAUUUAAUAUGGAAUUUAAUUUAUCAAUAUUCACUUUUUUAGUAAUAUUGCACCAAUAAUUUUUAGUAUGGCAAUAACAUAAUUAAUUAUAAAGUCUUAUUUACCACCAGUUUCAUCUCAAUGACUGCAAAAGUUGAUUACUUUAGGUUAUUUAGUACAUAAAAUAUGUUUAGCGCUUUCAUUGAUUAAAUCCAAUUGCAGUUAAAAUUUAGUAAUUUAACAAAAAUUACAUAUUCCUUGUUAGAGAUACAAAGUGACUUCCAAACUUUGAAUGCAGUUACUACUUAAAAAAGAUUUAGUUAAACUAAUUUGAACACAUUAUCCAUAUUGAUUAUUAUCUUGUUAAUAUCACUGUAACAAUAUAUUACUAAUUUAUGAUUUUAUUAUAGAUGCUUAACAAUGCAUAUAUUUACUCAAAAAUUGUUCUUUACCUUGCAAACUAUGUGAAGUUAUGAGUAAAAUAUUUGAGAUAGGAUGAAUCUCUUGAAAGUAUUUUCUACUUUAAAGUGGAGAGACUCAUGAGCAGAAACUAUUGUAAAUCUUGACCUCUAUAUUCCUUGCAAGGACCAGUAAAUAGGCUGGCCCACUCCUUCCCCUCAAUAAUAUACAGCAUAUUUAAAAUUGUAUAAAAUGAAAGCUUAGUAGAAGUAGUAAUCCGUGAGAAUGGACUAGCUUCUAGUUCAACAUUCCUAAUUCAAAACCAUACUUUUUUAUACUUUGUUAUUGAUUAUUUUACUUCACGCUGUUGAAUGUUCUGGCAAACAAAUUCAUAGUCAUUGCAUUUAACGGAAAUUAAAAUUAAGUCAUACAGACAAAUACAAUAAGCAUGAAAUUUCCAAAAUUAACUUGAGUUAGACAUUUUGUAUUGGACGUACUUGUUACUAUCAUUUCCAACUGAUAAGCAUAAAAUUAGAUACUUCAUCGAUAAAAAAGUUAUUAAACUUUAAGAUAUUUUUUAGACAUAUAAAGUGAAUUUAAAACAAUAUAAAUAUAUAUUUUACUCAACAUAGUUUGGUUAAAAAUGUUUUUGUCCUCACCUCCCUUCUAACUGAAGCGUAGAUUUUUCCCUAACUUCCUAAUUGUGUUCGCAACAUCACAUCUUAUUCUGUUUGUUUGUCAAAGUCUAUAUUUCUUAUCCACAAUGAAAAUCAGCUUGUUUCACAAUACAGUCUCUUGGUUGUUUCACUAACUGUGUUAUUUACUUUAAACUGUUUGUUCUUGUAUUUUUCACUUAAGAAUUCGUAUAUGAGUCUCCAGUACCUCCUACAUGUUGCUACUAUCCAUGUCAGCAGCAUUUCUGUAUAUUGUUUGUUGUUAUUGUUAGAAGUUUAGUAUAUAACUCUAUAUGUAUGAUAACAGUGUUAGAUUUAAUUUGUUUUAACUUUUUCAAUUAAAUCUAUGAUUUACAUACAGCAUUUUAGGUUCUGACUGUUAUGUUUCUAUUAGUUUUUAAGAAUCGUGAGAACCUUUUUCUUCAAGGUAAGCCCCUGUUACACGUUGUCGGAUUUCAACAUGUUUGUUAAUUAACGUUCAUCUUAACGUCUAUAGUUAACAUUUGUUAGUUCUUUUAACAAUAACUCCUGAAUCAUUCUGUUCAUAUAAUAAGCAAAGGUUAAUGCAUUUUUGUUAUAAAUUGUUUUUAUAACUUUUUUAACAUCUUUUCAUCUUUUAUACUACAAUAAAAUGGUUAAUCUACAUUUAUGCAUAUAGUCUAUUUAACCUAACUUCAAUAUUUGUAAUUUAGUAUCACACAAAAGUAAAAGUACUACUCCAAUACUGAAUUUAAGUUGAAUAAAUAACAAUAUACUUUUUGUUUGUAUAUCAACCAUUUUAUUCUUCCUCUACAAUCUCAAGAUGGCUUUAUAUUAUGGAUACAGAUAAUCCUAAUUAUAAGACAUUUAUCACGGAUAAUUCUUUUCUGUUAUGGGCUUCCCAGGGGUUUUCUCCUUUCAAGUCUUCCACACUAUCUAUGACACCUAUUUCCACUGAUCUAUAGUUAUUGUUCUACUUAGUAGGACCCCACCUACAUUUUUUAAUUUUAUUUUGUUACAAAGAUCAAUGAGAUGGGUGCAGCUAUACGCAAUGAAUAUAAUAUAUAAUCUUUUUUAAUAAUUUCAAACAAUAAGCUGUUGUUGUGUUAUAAUUCAUUUAAAAAUAAACUUAAUGGCUCAGCCAUUUUUCCAAUAAAAUCAUAUUAAAAGUACAAUAGUGACAAAGGUAUAUUGUCAUGUUAAGAAUGUGUGAACAUAUUUGUCAUGACAAUUUAACUGUCCAAUAAUACUUAGAUAAUUAGAAGUCUCAUAUUAGUAAAAGCAGAAAUGGCUGGAUAAGCACAAUCUUCUCAACUCCGCAAGACUCAGUACAAAACAAUAACUUCAUCAGUUAAUAUUAAAAUGCACUUGCAGUGAGUAUUAUUAUUUUAUUUUAAGUAGUACUUUGUUUUGGCUGGUAUCUGACUUUUUAUUGAACCAAAUGCAGGUAUUUUAAAUUGAUGUUAAAUAAUCACUUACUGUUAAACUGUUUAUUGUACAUUGUGCUAUUGUUGUUCUUUAAGUGAUGAGUAACAUAUCAACAUUAGUAAUUAACAUUCAUGUAAUGUACAGCAUAUUGGUUACGCUUUUCAAUCUGUGUUUAUAUUUAUUUGAUGUUUUUAAUGUAGAUGAUAAAAGUUGUUUGUUACUGACGACUUAAGCAUAUAACAUUCUCAGCUAUGUAUGUUCUUAUUGAGUUGACUUUUUGAAUCCUUUAUGUUGAUACAUGUUAUUAAAUGGCCUUUAAUGGAGAUGUAUAUCUGUUCAAUAAACACUUUAAAAAUUUAUUGUAUAACAUGUUUAAAAGUUUUCCUUUAGAUGUAUUACCUAUACGUUGCUUGGAUAGUCUAUUACUAUAAUUUAAAUUUGUUCCAGUUUAGUACACAUUAGUGUUAAGAAUGUUUAUAAAGCCUAAAUGUAUUUUUGUAAAGCAAGUUUAUCAAAGUAUAUUUGUAUUGUAAUAUUUAUCCAAGACAUAAAGUGUAUAGACAUUACCAUCCUUUCUGGUGACAAUACUCGUUCCUUGAGGGUGAUUCCAAAUGGACUCUUUGCUUUUGAUUGUUAAGUUUUUGUUAAUACUAAAUAUUGUUGUUUUGUUGGAAUAAUAAAGUUAGAAAUCAAAA